rnacentral:misc_RNA from 1 species
UAGCCGUAUCGGAAGGUGCGGCUGGAUCACCUCCUUUUGAGUAUGGUGAAUAUAAUUGUCUUAUCAGGCGUCCUCACAAGUUACUUGCAUUCAGGGUUUGAUGUUGGCAUAGGUUUGGGUUUAUGUUGGCGAUUUUUGUUCUGGGGGCCUUAGCUCAGCUGGUAGAGCACCUGCUUUGCAAGCAGGGGGUCGUCGGUUCGAUCCCGACAGGCUCCACCAUGAAAGUAUUUAUGGGUCUGUAGCUCAGGUGGUUAGAGCGCACCCCUGAUAAGGGUGAGGUCGGUGGUUCGAGUCCUCCCAGACCCACCAAUGUUAUAUCAAUUAUUCUGAAUGUGGUUUGCGCAUUUUUUAUGCUUAUCAGCCUUGGAGCUGUGAAGCGUUCUUUUAUAAUUUGAUGAUGUAGCAAGCGUUUGAACUUUUUAUUAAUAAUUUCUCAUUGGAAGCCUUAAGUGACAAUGUUUAUCCAUUGUCUUGUAGAUUUUGAGGCGACUUUGGGUUAUAUGGUCAAGCGAAUAAGCGCAC